rnacentral:rRNA from 1 species
UACAGAGGGUGCGAGCGUUGUUCGGAAUUAUUGGGCGUAAAGGGUGCGUAGGUGGUUUGUUAAGUCUGCUGUGAAAUCCCCGGGCUCAACCUGGGAAUGGCAUUCGGGACUGCAAGGCUGGAGUGCGGCAGAGGAGACUGGAAUUCCUGGUGUAGCAGUGAAAUGCGUAGAUAUCAGGAGGAAUACCGAUGGCGAAGGCAGGUCUCUGGGCUGACACUGACGCUCAUGCACGAAAGCGUGGGGAGCAAACAGG